GGAUAUCUGAAAAGCCAAAAGAGAAAACAUUAACCAAACUAACUAGAAACGAAAGGAAAUAGUUUGCAGAUACAUACAUAAUGUGUAAGAAACUUCCAAGAUUUUAUAGUGGGCCACCUUUACUUUGAUUGUUCAACAGACCUUUCAAUUAAGCUUGAGGGUAAUAUUUCCCCAUUUCAGACAACGCUUAAUUCUCUUCAAGAUUUCUCGUUUGAGUUGUUUCCAUGUGUCUUCUCAUGCACAACUGUUAAACAAAGAAAUGAUGCUCUAGGGAAUGAUACGUGGUCUGGAAUGGGAAAAUAUAAACGCCGUCGCAAAACUUAACAAAACUCCAUGAAGAUUUAUUAAUGGGAAGGAAUAAACUUUAAGCAGCAAGUUUUCUCUCUUAGGGAUGUGAAUAUCCUUCUGCGUUUCCUCCCACAGGUAAUUCGAUGUAGAAAGACAAAGAUAUAAGAUUUAUAACAGCACUAAUGUAGAAUAUUACCAUGGUCAGUCAACGGAGCAAGCGGUUCCUGUUUCUCUCCUUUAAUAUUCAAGAAGUGAAUAUUCUAUUAUCUGAUCCUUACCCGAGAUGACAGAACGAAUGACGACAGGUUUUUCACUACCAGCAACAAACCCGAACCCUACAAGGAAAAACAUCAUAUGCUGUCAGAUGAAGGAAAUAAUAUAAAUUGAAAGCCAAAAUCACUUAUCAAUUAAACUAGAAAAAACGAAAUGAAUAAUAGAGUGCUCGCACUAAACCCGUAAAACAAAUACUAAUUUUUAGUACUAAAUAGUGAUAAUCAGACAAUACAUGGAAAACAAAGGAUUCUGUAUGAAUAACUACUAAUUAGUACUAAAUAUUAUUCACGGGUUUUUAGUGCGUGCACUCUAACAUUAAAAGUAAAAGUAAAUAUUAGAACAAGACUAGCAUAUUUUUGAUGUCUAUAAGUUCUGAGGAAAUGAAUAAAGUGAAACUUUCCUUUUUAGAAAUUCUCUUUCGCUCUCCUUAAACUGAUUAAUAGUGACUUAAUUUCGGAUAACGUUUUUCGUUAAUUAACGGACGUACAAAGUUUUUUUUAUAGCUACAGUAUAUAGAUUUAAGUGUAAAGAAUAUGAAUUAGGGAAGCUGUUGCAGACAUUGUCGUUCCGUCUUUAAUUACUUCCCGGAGUAUGCCUGCAAUUUUACACUUUUCGGGGAAAAAAAGAUUUUUCCUUGCUUAUAAAAAAUAAAAAAUAUAUAAAUAUUCUGGAACGUCUGAGGAAAGUUCCGUGUCGUACUUACCCAAAGACGGAUCUCUUUUGAUUUGAACUAUUCGAGCUCGUGCGGCCGCCUAAUAAACAUACAAGAAGAAAAUUAUACAGCAACAUUACCACUGUAAUUACUAUUUAUGUUUACGGAUAAAAGAGAAAAUAAACAAGUUGUCCUCAAA